rnacentral:rRNA from 1 species
UAGCUCCUACGGGGCGCAGCAGUGAGGAAUAUUGGUCAAUGGGAGAGAUCCUGAACCAGCCAAGCCGCGUGAGGGAAGACGGCCCUAUGGGUUGUAAACCUCUUUUGUCGGAGAACAAAACCCGGGACGAGUCCCGGACUGCGUGUAUCCGAAGAAAAAGCAUCGGCUAACUCCGUGCCAGCAGCCGCGGUAAUACGGAGGAUGCGAGCGUUAUCCGGAUUUAUUGGGGUUAA